CAGCCAAAAGAAAACUCUUCCCUUAGGUGGCGACUCCAACACGUCCCAGCUCUCUCCCGUCAACCUGCUACUCUUCUCUCCAGGAAAAUUGAAUGUGAUAAAAGAUGUCCUUGUGUGUGGCGGCUGCUCACAACGUGCUGGACAGCAGCUCAAUGCAAAGAAAAAGAAAAAGAAUCCCUAGCCGUCAUGACACCGUGCCCCUAGAUCUGCUUCACGUUCUGCUUCUUGGACGCACCCCCCAAUUUCGCUGGACCAUCCCACGCUGCUGCUAACGUGGCUGCCCCUUGCUGGAUGUCACACCCUUUCUGCUUGCUGGACCGUGGAGGCUAUGUGCGUGUGAAGUGCUGCCGUGUUGUGCUUCCAAGUGGGCCGAAUCUCUCCAAGCACACACCUCCCAGACGCUGCUGUGUGCUGCUCUGUGCUUGCUGGACGCAUGUGCUGCUUCUUCUUUGGACACCUCAACACUUCUCUUCCACGUGCUGCAAUGCUGGAAUGAUGGAUGCUGCUGGAACGUGGUAGAAGGAAGGUGUGGAGCGUGACGUGCAGCCGUGGGCUUCACUUCUUGCUGUGUGUUACCCCAUUUUCUCCAACACUGUGCACUCCUUUCUUCAUUGAACGUGCUGACCCGUGAAUCCAAGUGAAUCCC